UUUGAACCUAGAAAGCAUCUCCAAGCUUGA
rnacentral:piRNA from 1 species